rnacentral:lncRNA from 1 species
UUCGCUAGCCAAGGGUUGCGAUCCACUCCCGCUCUCUUCACCCUUGGCGGAUUGAGAUAAUAUUUCGGAGACACAAGGUAAGGAUUUUUAUUGGUUGCAGUAGAAACUCGCUGCAUCCAAUCAAAAAGCGCCUCUAACAUGAUCACGUGUAAAUGUAGAAAGUGUUUGUAAACAAUUGCCACGUGUUUAUUGUGCAACAAGUCUUUACAUCACUAAACAUACGACUAUAUUUAGU